UUUGACGACUCUGAAGGGAAGCAGCCAGCAGAUGAAAACGAAUAAAACUUUCCAAGUUGCACAUCCAUGGAAGAAAGUCCAACAAUCAAGCUUGAGAAACCUAUUCACCUCCCCUUCACUAAGAUUGUCCAGGGGCAGAGAAAAUCUGGAAGGAAUACAAUGCCUUUAAAUCUUCAUUGCUUAGAGGCUUACCGAAGGAAUGGGGUAUCCAGUGAUUUAACAGGUUAUUACUACAGGGAGCAAAACAAGUUUUGAAAGAAUAUGAAAUGUAAAUAUUGAUUCUAAUACACUUCAUGUCACUUGUUUUGAAGAAGAUCAUCAGAAGAACUUCAAACUAUAAGAUAUUCCCUAUUAAAUCAUGUUAUAUUCAUCAUUUAGCAGAAUUAUUGGCUUGUAGCAAAUAGUUGAUACUUUGAGUUGAGAAGAUUUUUAGUAGAUUUAUGAAGGAAAUAAAAGGACAUGCAAAAACA
rnacentral:lncRNA from 13 species